AAAAGAAACUAACGAGGAUUCCCAUAGUAACGGCGAGUGAAAUGGGAAAAGCCCAGCGCUGAAUCCAUCGAUCACUGGUCGCUUGGAAUUGUAGCGUAUAGGUGCGGCUGUCCGCUCGUUUCGUGCACCCAAAGUCCCCUUGAGCGGGGCCAUAGUCCAAAGAAGGUGCUAGACCUGUACGGGUGGCGAGACGAUCGGUUGGUCGCUCCUUGGAGUCGGGUUGCCUGGGAUCGCAGCCCAAAGUUGGUGGUAGACCUCAUCUAAGGCUAAAUAUGGCCACGAAACCGAUAGCAAACAAGUACCGUGAGGGAAAGUUGCAAAGAACUUUGAAGAGAGAGUUCAAGAGGGCGUGAAACCGCCGAGAUUGAAACGGAUAGAGUUGACGAAACUCGAUCGCAUUCAUCCGAUCCGCCUAGCGGUUCGGCGGUUGUUGACUUCCUCGAUGAGGGCAACGCCGUCGCUGGCUGUUGGGUGUUAGAUGGGUGUAUUUGCGGUCGGUAUGCGCCGAGAGCUUUGCGAACGCAUGUUGGCGUUGAUGUAGUGGACCACUCCCUCCGGGCGUGGAACCCUGCACUGACUGAGGCAUGUCGUUUGUAGGGUGUUGCUGGUUGACGUCUCCGCUAUGGUGCGUCGGCUUUGUCGGACUGUUGUGGCUACUGGGUGAUCGCAUGCGAGCGCCUGUGGUUUAUGAUCGUACGAUGAGGUGCAGACGCGCUUGAGACGUGCAUCUCGGUGUGAACGUUGACCACCUAUCCGA
rnacentral:rRNA from 1 species